rnacentral:rRNA from 1 species
UACGGAGGGGGGCUAGCGUUUGUUCGGAAUUACUGGGCGUAAAAGCGCACGUAGGCGGCUUUGUAAGUUAGAGGUGAAAGCCCGGGGCUCAACUCCGGAAUUGCCUUUAAGACUGCAUCGCUAGAAUUGUGGAGAGGUAAGUGGAAUUCCGAGUUGUAGAGGUGAAAUUCGUAGAUAUUCGGAAGAACACCAGUGGCGAAGGCGACUUACUGGACACAUAUUGACGCUGAGGUGCGAAAAGCGUGGGGGAGCAA